rnacentral:lncRNA from 13 species
CUUCGGUCCUCAGAAGCUCUUCUGGUUAAAAUCAUCUAAAAAGUUGUUUCAAGUCUCUGGAACAGCUGAGAUUAGCAAAAAUCAAUGAAGCUUCCUCUGUGUGGGCGCAGGUGCUGCACUGGGUGCUGGUAUGUGGAAAUGAGGAAGACUGUGCCUGAGGAUUUCAUAGCAGCUGUGGUCAUGCAGUAGGAGAGUGGAUCAUUUGGACAUGUGACCUAAGAGAUUCCAGUCGGGGAGAAGUCCAGGAUUGUUUUGUUCCUUGGUUAAAGAAGAAAUAUCCUUUCCUCCUGAGAGGAGAACGAGAAACGAGAAGACCAAAAAGCUCUGGCUGCCAUCUUGCUACCCAAAGGGAAGUCAUUCUGAAGACGAAGCCAAGAAAAAGGCUGAGAAAAGUACAGAGAAAUGGAAAACCAUCCCUAAUAUCACCGUGGACCUCUGGAUCAAAGCCUUGCUUGAAGCUAACCAAUACCAAUAACUCUUUUAGUGGGUAAACCAUUUUGAGUAAAUUUUCUGUGAUGGGCAACUUGAAAGCACUAUAAAUGAUACAAAUUUUGUCAGUUAAAACACAUUUCUUCAGGGAAGGAUAAUCAGGAUGAUAAGGGCAUUAUCAGGAAAACUAGGUAAAAGAAAGAUUUAGAGGUGGGCCACGUGGGCUGCUUUCAACACAGAGCUAUGAUGAGGAAGGACUUAUACUGUGUGGCCCCAGAAGAGGGACUAGAACCACAGAGUCCUACUGGUGGGGUUCUUCCCCAGCACAGGCAAUAAGGCAGGGUAUUGUCAGUGGGGAAUUAGAAAACAACGAUAAAACUCACAAAAAGUCUAUGUUCUUUUAUUAGCAUUGCAUACUGGA